rnacentral:lncRNA from 1 species
AAAUCAGACAGUCUCAGAUUGUAUUUUACAUUUUUUUUUUUCUUAAUGGAAAACUCCUUGAUGUCAAGUCCAAGUAUGAAGCUGUUCAAGGUGAGAAUGAGGAAAACCAAGGAUACAAAAAGUCUUUAUUCAUAUACCAACAACUCUUUCAAUGAUCAGAUUCUUGAAACCAUAAAAAUAUACAACAGAUUGUAAAUACAACAUAAAAGUAUGCAGACCUUGUCCAAUGCUAUAAUGUUUUUGAUAUUAUAGCAAGCAUGCAACUAACUCUAGUAGAUUGAACAAGCUAAUUCUAUUAUUUUCUAUUUAGAUGAGGAAGGAGGGCAACCUACUUAGUCAUAUCAGAGGUUAGUGAAAUUCAGGUUCCUCCAUGGCUCAUAUUCCAAAAAUCAACUUCAUGUUCAAGAAUACGCAGGAAUGUCGCUUCAGCAUUUGUGAUGACAUCAUCAGAAGCCUUCUCUAGCUGUCUAUCAGCAAUUUUUCUGAGAGAAUUGCAGUACUGACGAAAACCUUC